rnacentral:rRNA from 1 species
GAUGAACGCUAGCUACAGGCUUAACACGUGCAAGUCGAGGGGAAACGGCAUCGAAAGCUUGCUUUUGAUGGGCGUCGACCGGCGCACGGGUGAGUAACGCGUAUCCAACCUGCCCAUCACUUGGGAAUAACCUUGCGAAAGUAAGACUAAUGCCCAAUGACAUCCCACGAAGGCAUCCGAAUGGGAUUAAAGAUUUAUCGGUGAUGGAUGGGGAUGCGUCUGAUUAGCUUGUUGGCGGGGUGACGGCCCACCAAGGCAACGAUCAGUAGGGGUUCUGAGAGGAAGGUCCCCCACAUUGGAACUGAGACACGGUCCAAACUCCUACGGGAGGCAGCAGUGAGGAAUAUUGGUCAAUGGGCGAGAGCCUGAACCAGCCAAGUAGCGUGCAGGAUGACGGCCCUAUGGGUUGUAAACUGCUUUUAUAAGGGAAUAAAGUGGGUCACGUGUGACUUUUUGCAUGUACCUUAUGAAUAAGGACCGGCUAAUUCCGUG